CAGCCAUGCCGCGUGAAGGAUGACGGCCCUAUGGGUUGUAAACUUCUUUUAUAGAGGAAGAAACUUGUCUACGUGUAGACAACUGACGGUACUCUACGAAUAAGGAUCGGCUAACUCCGUGCCAGCAGCCGCGGUAAUACGGAGGAUCCAAGCGUUAUCCGGAUUCAUUGGGUUUAAAGGGUCCGUAGGCGGAUUUUUAAGUCAGUGGUGAAAGCCGACAGCUCAACUGUCGAACUGCCAUUGAUACUGGAAAUCUUGAGUACAAAUGAAGUAGGCGGAAUGAGUCAUGUAGCGGUGAAAUGCAUAGAUAUGACUCAGAACACCGAUUGCGAAGGCAGUCUACUACGUAUGUACUGACGCUCAUGGACGAAAGCGUGGGGAGCGAACAGGAUUAGAUACCCUGGUAGUCCACGCCGUAAACGAUGGACACUAGUUGUUGGGCAUUAGCUCAGUGACUAAGCGAAAGUGAUAAGUGUCCCACCUGGGGAGUACGAUCGCAAGAUUGAAACUCAAAGGAAUUGACGGGGGCCCGCACAAGCGGUGGAGCAUGUGGUUUAAUUCGAUGAUACGCGAGGAACCUUACCAGGGCUUAAAUGUAGUAUGACAGGUUUAGAGAUAGACUUUUCUUCGGACAUAUUACAAGGUGCUGCAUGGUUGUCGUCAGCUCGUGCCGUGAGGUGUCAGGUUAAGUCCUAUAACGAGCGCAACCCUUGUCGUUAGUUGCCAGCAUGUAAAGAUGGGGACUCUAACGAGACUGCCGGUGCAAACCGAGAGGAAGGUGGGGAUGACGUCAAAUCAUCACGGCCCUUACGUCCUGGGCCACACACGUGCUACAGUGGUAUGGACAAUGAGCAGCCAUCUG
rnacentral:rRNA from 1 species